rnacentral:rRNA from 1 species
UACGUAGGGUGCGAGCGUUAAUCGGAAUUACUGGGCGUAAAGCGUGCGCAGGCGGCUUACUAAGACAGGUGUGAAACGCCCGAGCUUAACUUGGGAAUGGCCGCUUGUGACUGGUAGGCUGGAGUGUGGCGAGAGGGAGGUGGAAUUCCACGUGUAGCAGUGAAAUGCGUAGAGAUGUGGAGGAACACCGAUGGCGAAGGCA